UUAGGGAAUGUUUGUGAAUGGAGCUGAAGUGGUUUUGUGCACAAUGAGUUCUUGCUUGUGGUUAUAAUAAAAAGAAGAAAAAAAGAUUAAGACGCAUACAUAAUGUUGAAAAUCUAAAAGGAAGAAAUCAGAAGAAACUCUUGUUUCUUGAGUUCAUGAUGUGUCAAUGUGAUAUUUAUUUUGAUUGAUACAAUGCAGUAGUGUUGCCUGUCAAUGUGAUAUAGUUGGUAAAUAGAAACACUUUGACAUAAACUUAUUGCAGCAUGAUAUCUAGUGGAAGUGUGUAACUUGGUGUUAUUUGAUGAACUUAUAUUAAGGGAUCAAGGUUUUUUG
rnacentral:misc_RNA from 1 species